UACGUAGGGGGCAAGCGUUGUCCGGAAUUAUUGGGCGUAAAGAGCGUGUAGGCGGUCCGGUAAGUCAGCUGUGAAAGUCAAGGGCUCAACCCUUGAAAGCCGGUUGAUACUGUCGGGCUAGAGUCCGGAAGAGGCGAGUGGAAUUCCCGGUGUAGCGGUGAAAUGCGCAGAUAUCGGGAGGAACACCAAUGGCGAAGGCAGCUCGCUGGGACGGUACUGACGCUGAGACGAGAAAGCGUGGGGAGCGAACAGG
rnacentral:rRNA from 1 species